GUUUCUUUCACUUGCUUGACUCCAGCACAAAAUAAAAAAAUGGUGCAUUUAAUUUCUUGCUUUAUCCUUUUAUUGAUUCUUGGAUUUACGAUUGCAUUUAGCUAUGAAAGUUACAAACAACAAAAAGCUAUUUGCCAUCUACCAGUAAAUUAUGGAAAAUGUGGCAAGGGAGUUUUUGCCUGGUACUACGACCCUUUGAAGAAGUCCUGCAUCCGUUUUGUUUAUGCCCUUUGUGGAGGAAACAGGAAUCGCUUUUUUACCAAAGCAGAGUGCGAGGAACUUUGCCUAAAGGAUUGGUAACCAAUAGCUGCCAUUUCUUCAUUUUAUCUCCAAUGUAAAAGCUCAAUAUAUAAACAUUUUUACAACCAAAUAAAAAAACUAAUUCAUUUGUAAGCUUAAUUUUUUUUUAAUUCUUGCUAAAUUCUCCAU